rnacentral:rRNA from 1 species
AGCGAACGCUAGCGGCGAGCUUAACACAUGCAAGUCGAGCGGAGGGUUUCGGCCCUCAGCGGCGGACGGGUGAGUAACACGUAGGUUACGUGCCCCUUUGGUGGGGAAUAACUUAGGGAAACCUGAGCUAAUACCGCAUAUGCCCUUCGGGUGGAAAGUACUUCGGACGCCAGAGGAUCGGCCUGCGGCCCAUUAUUUAAUCCUUGUUGGUGGGGUAACGGCCUACCAAGGGUACGAUGGGUAGCUGGUCUGAGAGGAUGAUCAGCCACACUGGGACGUGUGACACGGCCCAGACUCCUACGGGAGGCAGCAGUGGGGAAGUAUUGGACAAUGGGGG